rnacentral:rRNA from 1 species
AACGUAGGAGGCAAGCGUUAUCCGAAUUUACUGGGCGUAAAGCGCGUGCAGGCGGUUCGAUAAGUUGGGUGUGAAAGCUCCUGGCUCAACUGGGAGAGGUCGUUCAAUACUGUCGAACUCGAGGAUGGUAGAGGGAGGUGGAAUUCCCGGUGUAGUGGUGAAAUGCGUAGAUAUCGGGAGGAACACCAGUGGCGAAGGCGGCCUCCUGGGCCAUUCCUGACGCUCAGACGCGAAAGCUAGGGGAGCGAACGGG